rnacentral:lncRNA from 1 species
AGAAAGAGGCUUAAGUACUAUACUAGAUCUCUUUAUUUGUUUUUUAAAUGCUUUUAUCUACUUUACUACAAUAUGAAGGACUAAUAAUAGAGGAUGCUGAGUACAUAGAAAUCAUGGUCCACUUUGUUUAGUGCCCACUCCAAAGCCACUUGAAGCACUAGGAGCCUUUGCAUAGCAGACAAACUGAAAAGAUUUUUUUUUCCCUUUCAAACUCAAACUUACAGGAGCCGAAGUGUUAGUUUACAUGCAAAUCCUUUUUACUCUAGUCAGACUAUUUAUAAAACUCUUUGCAUACAUUAUUAAAAUAAUAUAAUCUUUUAAAUAUUUUGUGCCUCCUAACAGGUCUCAAAAUAUUCUAAAAGCUGAAGCCUCAAUUUUGAAAUGAUCUUCAUAGAAAUCAACUCCCAUUCUUCCUUGGAGUCUUCAGAAAUAAACAGCUGAGAUGCCACGUGUAUAGAGCUCACCCUGAGAGCAGUGCGGGGAUUUCUGCCACUGUAAAUCCAUUCAAAAAAGACAACAGCUGCCACAAUUCUGUGCUGCAAAGUGAACAACUGAAGCUGAAGGUAAUAUGAAAACCUUUUUGAGUUCAUUGGGUUUGUACUUGAGUGGGAAUAUGCAUUUUUGAUUGCAGGAACAGCAGCUAAAUUUGGAAAAU